rnacentral:tRNA from 1 species
GCGGGUGUAGUUCAGUGGUAGAACGUGUGCUUCCCAAGCACAAUGUCGUGGGUUCGAAUCCCAUCACCCGCU